rnacentral:piRNA from 1 species
UGCCAAGAAUUCACGGUGGACUGAAGGCCUC